rnacentral:rRNA from 1 species
GACGAACGCUGGCGGCGUGCCUAAUACAUGCCAGUAGAACGCUGAAGGAGGAGCUUGCUUCUCUGGAUGAGUUGCGAACGGGUGAGUAACGCGUAGGUAACCUGCCUGGUAGCGGGGGAUAACUAUUGGAAACGAUAGCUAAUACCGCAUAAGAGUAGAUGUUGCAUGACAUUUGCUUAAAAGGUGCAAUUGCAUCACUACCAGAUGGACCUGCGUUGUAUUAGCUAGUUGGUGGGGUAACGGCUCACCAAGGCGACGAUACAUAGCCGACCUGAGAGGGUGGUCGGCCACAACGGGACUGGGACACGGCCCAGACUCCUACGGGAGGCAGCAGUAGGGAAUCUUCGGCAAUGGACGGAAGUCUGACCGAACAACGCCGCGGGAGGGAAGAAGGUUUUCGGAUCGGAAAGCUCGGUUGUAAGGGAAGAACGAGGGUGAGAGUGGAAAGUUCACACUGUGACGGUAUCUUACCAGAAAGGGACGGCUAACUACGUG